GGAUGAACGCUGGCGGCGUGCCUAAUACAUGCAAGUCGAGCGAACGGACGAGAAGCUUGCUUCUCUGAUGUUAGCGGCGGACGGGUGAGUAACACGUGGAUAACCUACCUAUAAGAUUGGGAUAACUUCGGGAAACCGGAGCUAAUACCGGAUAAUAUUUUGAACCGCAUGGUUCAAAAGUGAAAGACGGUCUUGCUGUCACUUAUAGAUGGAUCCGCGCUGCAUUAGCUAGUUGGUAAGGUAACGGCUUACCAAGGCAACGAUGCAUAGCCGACCUGAGAGGGUGAUCGGCCACACUGGAACUGAGACACGGUCCAGACUCCUACGGGAGGCAGCAGUAGGGAAUCUUCCGCAAUGGGCGAAAGCCUGACGGAGCAACGCCGCGUGAGUGAUGAAGGUCUUCGGAUCGUAAAACUCUGUUAUUAGGGAAGAACAUAUGUGUAAGUAACUGUGCACAUCUUGACGGUACCUAAUCAGAAAGCCACGGCUAACUACGUG
rnacentral:rRNA from 1 species